ensembl:lncRNA
UUUCCUUUCAUCGCUUAAUUUUUUUUAAAGUUAUAUAUUAAGGAGAGGUUAAAAUAUCUUUAGAUAGCUAACUUUUAUGACUUUGCACUGCUCUGGAACCAUAUUAGUGACCUUGAAUUUUAUUCCUAAAUGUGUGUGUGUGUGUGUGUGUGUGUGUGUGUUCAAAUGAUAUAGAACGUAGUACAGCUUUUUUCCCAGAUAUUUCAAUAGUCCUGGUUUCUGUUGUCAUGAUAAAAUAUGGUUUCAGGAAGCAGCUUAGGGGAGAAAGGCUUUCUUUACCAGCCCAGGUUACCGUCCAUCAUCUGGAGGGAAAGGGAAGUCAAGGGAGGACCAUGGAGUUGCUAACUCUAUCUAACAAACUCCAGGACCCAAAGCCCAAGGCUGUCACCCACAGUGGACUGGACCUUCCCAGGUAGUUAAGGACAAUUCCUGCAAGCAUGCCCUUGGGCCAAUCUGAUGGGAACAACUCCUCACUAGAAUCCCCUCUUAAGUCUUUCUACAUUGUGUGGAAUUAGCGGUUAAAAUAUGUGCCCUACUUGUAAAUCUUGUUAGCAGCCACUGGGACCUCCCCAGGGCUUCCCCUCCGCUCCUUGGUCUUCACAGAAGGCACAGAGAACAUGGAGUAAGGAUAGGUAGGAUUUAUUUCAGAGUAAAAUAAAAUAUCAGCAAGAGCUGAUAGGGGACAAUGGACGAAGAGGCCACUGCACCAGGAGGCAGACUUUAUGCUGUUUCUAAAAUCUUGGGGAGAGCAUCCCAUGGAGAACGUUUUCCUGUCCAGGUGAUUGACAGACUCAUUUAGAGGAGCUCUUCUAAGGCAGGGGACAAUGACAUGUUGCUCUUCUUCUUCGACAGAAAGCCUUUCAUCAAAUAGUAAUCCUUUUAUGUAAGGCUUAGAUAGUUAUCUGUUAAUGGACCCGCCAAGGUCAGAGACUAGGCCCAGGUUUGUUCUUUUGACCCGUGAUCAGAGUCCUGUAAUUUCAAUUCUUGGCUAUACCAGCUGCUGCCUACAGAGGAGGAAGCCAUUCCCAAUAACCUUCGAGGCCGUGAAUUAGACACCUGACCGACAUUCCUCAGAGACAGAAACAGUUCCGCAAGCCAGGGUGCACACCCAGAGGCUAAUGAAAAUAGUACGAAUAACUGACUGCCUAGCUUCGACAUUACCAGCAAAAGCUCACCUGUCUUAAAGCUGCACUCUCUUAAAUCAGCUCCUGCGUCGUCGGAACCCCUUGCCGCCUCUGGUCAUCUGUAGAGCUUUUGUUCUGAUGAGCGCAGUUGUAACCUGCUCGCAACUCGUUCCGUUUACCGUCAGGUCAGCUUGUGUGGACCAUCAUGCCAAACCCACUGAGUAUCUCUCCACUUUGUGUGAGUGAAUUUGUUGUUUUGUACACUUUAUUUUGUCCUCCAAAUAAACCAACCAGUGAGACCAUUUUGCUGGAACAUUAAGCUCCUGUCACGAGUAGAGUAAAUUUACAUAUAUCUACUGCCCUCCCCCCUUCAAUUCUGCUCAGUAUUGAAGAGAGCUGAGGCACCUCUAGCCCAGUUCAUCGGCAAAGGUGAGAAGAAUCCUCCAGGAGAACUCUGAAUAGUAACACCCAUAUAACUCAGCCUUCUCUCAUCCCCUCAUCCUACCGGGUUCUAAACAAAAGAAACUUUCAUUUUUAUUUUAAAAAAAAGUAUUUUUAAAGUUUGCUUACAGGGGGUUGGAGAGAUGGCUCAAUGGUCACAUGCAGAACACUGACUGCUCUUCCAGACGUCCUGAGUUCAAUUCCCAGCACCCACAUGGUGCCUCACAAGCAUCCAUAAUGGGAUCCGAUGCCCUCUUCUGGUGUGUCUGAAGACUGCGACGGUGUACUCACAUACAUUAAAAAACGCCUACAGGCUGGUGAUAUUUCUUAGUGGGUAGAGGCACCUGCCACCAGUUCUUGGCAUCCACCUGGUAUGAAGAAAUAACUGAUUCCCUCAAACUGAUUUGAGCACUGCCAUGAGCUCCCCCAAAAGUCAAUAAAUGAAUGAGUA